rnacentral:tRNA from 1 species
GGGCUGGGGCUCAGUGGUAGAACGCUCACCUCGCAUGUGCGAGACCCUGGGUUGGAUCCUCAGCAUCACA